rnacentral:rRNA from 1 species
UACGGAGGUCUCAAGCGGUGUUCGGAUUCAUUGGGCGUAAAGGGUGCGUAGGCGGCGCGGUAAGUCGGGUGUGAAAUCUUGGAGCUUAACUCCGAAACUGCAUUCGAUACUGCCGUGCUUGAGGACUGGAGAGGAGACUGGAAUUUACGGUGUAGCGGUGAAAUGCGUAGAUAUCGUAAGGAAGACCAGUGGCGAAGGCGGGUCUCUGGACAGUUCCUGACGCUGAGGCACGAAGGCCAGGGGAGCAAACGGG